rnacentral:rRNA from 1 species
CCUACGGGUGGCAGCAGUGGGGAAUAUUGGACAAUGGGGGGAACCCUGAUCCAGCGACGCCGCGUGAGUGAAGAAGUAUUUCGGUAUGUAAAGCUCUAUCAGCAGGGAAGAAAGAAAUGACGGUACCUGACUAAGAAGCCCCGGCUAACUACGUGCUAGCAGCCGCGGUAGUACGUAGGGGGCAAGCGUUAUCCGGAUUUACUGGGUGUAAAGGGAGCGUAGACGGCGAUGCAAGUCGGCAGUGAAAGGCGGGGGCCGAACCCCCGGACUGCUUGGGAGACUGUAUGGCUGGAGUGCAGGAGAGGUAAGUGGAAUUCCUGGGGUAGCGGUGAAAUGCGUAGAUAUUAGGAGGAACACCAGUGGCGAAGGCGGCUUACUGGACUGUAACUGACGUUGAGGCACGAAGGCGUAGGGAGCAAACAGGAUUAGAUACCCGGGUAGUC